rnacentral:lncRNA from 1 species
CUUCUUGUGCCUCUCUCCCACUCUCCUGGAGUUCUCCCAGAACAAUAUGCUGAGAACAUUGAUAAGGUUGGAAUUGCCCAAAGGCCUUGCACCAGGAGCAAAUACUUUGCUCCUAAAGCAGACAUUCAGAUCUGGAAAAUCUGAAAGAGAACAUGGGCAUGAUUCCCUUCAUUUUAAAAAUCAUCUUGAAUCCUGAGGCACAUUUGAAAUGCAAGAUAUGUGAGGUGAAUGGCAGAAAAGAAAAAUACCAGAAGACUGAAUUUCCAAUAAAUCAAAGCAACCGAAUUUCAAUUUACAAUAGUGGAACUCAGGACAUAUUUUUUCCACCAAAACAUCCAACCAAGUAUGAGUGAGUGGCCUGGCCUUAACACAUUGUUUGUUUGUAACUUCAGAAGGCCUUAUAAAGAAUGUGCAGUAGGAAGAAGAAAAUCUGGAACCCUGAGUUAGCCUGGUGGGAAAGUCAGCCUCAGCUGAAGCCUCAACAGGCAGCUUGGAUGCUUCUUGACAUCUACAUUAAG